rnacentral:rRNA from 1 species
AUGGCCACCGACUUGGUUUACCACCGCACCGCGCGGUCCACGAUGAGCAUUUGGUCAAAAUUUCGGGUUGAAAAUUUCGAACGCGUCGAGGCCUGCGCACAACAGGACACGCCUCGUCCUCCCGCCAUUAAAACCUCGGCAGGCCGCGCAUUUAACGCGCCAUUACUGCUGCCUCCCUCUCUGUCCACGCAACGCAGGCCCACCACCACCACCGCGGCGCGCAAGGACAGUGCACGACACCGGCAGCGGAGGGGUCACCACCGCCGGAGCCGGCGGUGGGAGGUUUUCUUGGGGUCAGCGGCUGAGACGGUCCGGCGAGAGCAGCGCCUCGGGGUCCCCGCACCGGAGCCGGCUCGACGCGCGGUUGCUCCGCCUCGCCGCGGCGAUGGACGGGGGCUCGGAGGACAGGGACAUGAAAAACCCGCCUCCUGCGGGGGCUGCGCCGGCGCGGCGGCGGGCGAAGGGGGAGGACUUGCCCGCGGCCGAGCGGAACGAGAAGACACGGGCUGCGGCCGCCGCGGAGCCCCCGACGCCGCCGAAUGGAGACGGCCAGCGCUUGCUCCAGAAGCUUCGGCCUCGGCCGCUGGCGCCUUCGCCGCCGCCGCCGCCCAAGCGGUAGCGCCAGGAAGGGGAUGCUGUGGACGCGGCCUCCGUGGCGAUGUUGCGCUCGAAGCCGAAGGAGUAGGAGCGCUUGAGGAGGAAGUCCCUCGGGUUGAGCUGAUCGGGACUCGCCGGGGUGAUCUCCGGCAGGGCGCCGGCGUCGUUUUGGGGAGGCGGCGGGACGGGGUGGAAGAAGAGGAGGUCGUCGAGGCUGGGGCGAACGCGUCGGGCAGAGCGGAGCGGGGAGGAGACGGGGGGCGGGAGCGCGACGGCGGCGCGGCAGAGCGGGCAGGAGGCGUGCGCGCGGAGCCAGACGUCGAUGCAGUCGGCGUGGAAGGCGUGCGCGCACAGCGGCAGCGCGCGGAGCUCGUCGCCGUCGGCGAACUCAAGCAGGCACACGGCGCAGUCGCGUGCGCCGGCGCUCGCGCGCGCGGCCUCCGCCUUGAGGAACUGCGCCGAGGGCAGCGACUUGAUGGCCGCGUCGUCCAGGCCGUACGGCGAGAAGGUGUGGUAGAAGUUGUCGUAGGUGGUGAAGGACGCGAAGGAGUCGUUCGCCGGGGAGCCGAGCGGGAGCAUCAGCAGCCGCCGCCGCCUCCUCCAACCGCGCCACCGCUGCCGGACGGCUCGGACCACGCGCCUGGCCAGCCGCGCGUAGAGCACCACCAGCAGCGCCGCCCCCACCACCGCCAGCAUGGCGAUGAGCGGCGGGCUCAUGCCACCCCCGCCUCGCCGCGCGCCCGUGUACGCGAGCACCGCAUUAGGCUCCGGCGCUGGCGCAGGCACGGGUGCCGAUCCAGGCGACGCGACCGCAGAGGGAGAAGGCGGCGAGCUGAUGAGCCCACCCUGAAAUGCCGCUGUCGGGGACGGCAUUGGCGACGGGUACGGGGACGGAGAGGGCGCCGGCGCCGGGGAACCGCCCGGCGGCGGCGGCGGGCGAUGCGCGCGCAUGGCGUUCUUCCCGCUCUCCCUUGCCUCUGCUUCUCACCGUCUCAGUGCGUAGGAGGAGGAGGUGGAGGAGGUGCGCACAUGGCAGCAGCGAGUGGAAGUGAGGCUGCGGCGCAUCAUUGGUGGGAACUAGGGAGAGUGUGGUUGAGCCGAGUGCGAAGCUCCACCAUGGCUACACACUACACUGGUUGGUGGCAUGAUUUAUGA